rnacentral:tRNA from 1 species
GGGUCGUUAGCUCAGCGGUAGAGCAGUUGACUCUUAAUCAAUUGGUCGAAGGUUCGAACCCUUCACGACCCA